rnacentral:rRNA from 1 species
GUGUCAGCAGCCGCGGUAAAACGUAGGAGGCGAGCGUUAUCCGGAUUUACUGGGCGUAAAGGGCAAGUAGGCGGUAGCCAAAGUUGGGUGUGACAUCUCCCGGCUCAACUGGGAGGGGCCACUCAAGACUAGGCAACUAGAGGGCAGGAGAGGGAAGUGGAAUUCCUAGUGUAGCGGUGAAAUGCUCAGAUAUUAGGAAGAACACCAGUGGCGAAGGCGGCUUCCUGGCCUGUACCUGACGCUGAGAGGCGAAAGCUAGGGGAGCAAACGGGCUUAGAUAUCCCGGUAGUCCUAGCCGUAAACAUUGGAUACUGGGUAUUAGGGGGCUAAAAUCCCUUAGUGCCGAAGCAAACGCGUUAAGUAUCCCGCCUGGGGACUACGACCGCAAGGUUAAAACUUAAAUGAAUUGACGGGG